rnacentral:rRNA from 1 species
GACGUAGGAGGCGAGCGUUGUCCGGAUUCAUUGGGCGUAAAGAGCGUGUAGGCGGCCAGAAAAGUCCGCUGUGAAAACUCGAGGCUCAACUUCGAGCUGUCGGUGGAAACUUUCUGGCUAGAGUCCGGAAGAGGAGAAUGGAAUUCCUGGUGUAGCGGUGAAAUGCGCAGAUAUCAGGAAGAACACCCAGUGGCGAAGGCGGUCUCUGGGACGGUACUGACGCUGAGACGACGAAGCGUGGGGAGCGAAACAGGAUUAGA